GUUUGCUCCAACUACACAUAUACUACAAUUGGAACGAUACAGAGAAGACUAGCAUGGCCCCGUGCAAGGAUGACACACAAAUUCCUGAAGCGUUCCAUAUUUUU